rnacentral:rRNA from 1 species
UACGUAGGAUGCAAGCGUUGUCCGGAAUUAUUGGGCGUAAAGAGCGCGCAGGCGGUCUAUCAAGUCAGAUGUGAAAUAUCCCGGCUUAACCGGGAGGGGUCAUUUGAAACUGGUAGACUAGAGUACAGCAGAGGAUAGCGGAAUUCCCGGUGUAGUGGUGAAAUGCGUAGAUAUCGGCAGGAACACCCAGGGGGAAACCAGUCGACUGGGCAUCUACUGACGCUGAGGUGCGAGAGCGUGGGGAGCGAACCGG